UAGUUCCUGAAUCCUGAUAUUUUUGAGAGGUAUCCAUUCAGAUCCUUGCACAGUUGCAUCGCUAAGGAUUGACUUGUCUCUUGGCUGGCUGGCUGCUUCCUGCUGGUAUACUAUGCCAAAUUUUAUAGUAUGUCACAUGCAAGUCGAUUGUCUAAUCCAAUUAAGCUACGUGUUUCGCACAUUUCAUGCUGCAUGAAUGCUAUGGGCGUGCUG
rnacentral:lncRNA from 1 species